rnacentral:tRNA from 1 species
UAGGAUGUGGUGUAAUGUAACACAAAGGGUUUUGAGUUCUUUGGUAUAGGUUCGAGUCCUGUUGUCCUAG